rnacentral:rRNA from 1 species
UGAGUAACCUGCCCUUAACUCUGGGAUAAGCCUGGGAAACUGGGUCUAAUACCGGAUAUGACUCCUCAUCGCAUGGUGGGGGGUGGAAAGCUUUUUGUGGUUUUGGAUGGACUCGCGGCCUAUCAGCUUGUUGGUGAGGUAAUGGCUCACCAAGGCGACGACGGGUAGCUGGCCUGAGAGGGUGACCGGCCACACUGGGACUGAGACACGGCCCAGACUCCGUACGGGAGCAG